CUACGUGCCAGCAGCCGCGGUAAUACGUAGGGCGCGAGCGUUGUCCGGAAUUAUUGGGCGUAAAGAGCUUGUAGGCGGUUUGUCGCGUCUGCUGUGAAAGGCCGGAGCUUAACUCCGUGUAUUGCAGUGGGUACGGGCAGACUAGAGUGCAGUAGGGGAGACUGGAAUUCCUGGUGUAGCGGUGGAAUGCGCAGAUAUCAGGAGGAACACCGAUGGCGAAGGCAGGUCUCUGGGCUGUAACUGACGCUGAGAAGCGAAAGCAUGGGGAGCGAACAGGAUUAGAUACCCUGGUAGUCCAUGCCGUAAACGUUGGGCACUAGGUGUGGGGAACAUUCCACGUUUUCCGCGCCGUAGCUAACGCAUUAAGUGCCCCGCCUGGGGAGUACGGCCGCAAGGCUAAAACUCAAAGAAAUUGACGGGGGCCCGCACAAGCGGAGGAACAUGUGGUUUAAUUCGAUGAUACGCGAGGAACCUUACCCGGGCU
rnacentral:rRNA from 1 species